rnacentral:rRNA from 1 species
CAGGGAUUGCCCCAGUAACGGCGAGUGAAGCGGCAACAGCUCAAAUUUGAAAUCUGGUCCCUAGGGCCCGAGUUGUAAUUUGUAGAGGAUGCUUUUGGUGAGGUGCCGCCCGAGUUCCCUGGAACGGGACGCCACAGAGGGUGAGAGCCCCGUCUGGCUGGCCGCCGAGCCUCUGUAAAGCUCCUUCGACGAGUCGAGUAGUUUGGGAAUGCUGCUCAAAAUGGGAGGUAUAUGUCUUCUAAAGCUAAAUAUUGGCCAGAGACCGAUAGCGCACAAGUAGAGUGAUCGAAAGAUGAAAAGCACCUUGAAAAGAGGGUUAAAUAGUACGUGAAAUUGUUGAAAGGGAAGCGCUUGUGACCAGACUUGGGCGCGGCGGAUCAUCCGGGGUUCUCUCCGGUGCACUUCGCCGCGUCUAGGCCAGCAUCAGUUCGUCGCGGGGGAAAAAGGCUUCGGGAACGUGGCUCCUCCGGGAGUGUUAUAGCCCGUUGCAUAAUACCCUGCGGUGGACUGAGGACCGCGCAUCUGCAAGGAUGCUGGCGUAAUGGUCACCAGCGACCCGUCUUGAAACACGGACCAAGGAGUCGUCUUCGUAUGCGAGUGUUCGGGUGUCAAACCCCUACGCGUAAUGAAAGUGAACGCAGGUGAGAGCUUCGGCGCAUCAUCGACCGAUCCUGAUGUUCUCGGAUGGAUUUGAGUAAGAGCAUACGGGGCCGGACCCGAAAGAAGGUGAACUAUGCCUGUAUAGGGUGAAGCCAGAGGAAACUCUGGUGGAGGCUCGCAGCGGUUCUGACGUGCAAAUCGAUCGUCAAAUAUGGGCAUGGGGGCGAAAGACUAAUCGA